GAUGAACGCUGGCGGCGUGCCUAACACAUGCAAGUCGAGCGAUUCUCUUCGGAGAAGAGCGGCGGACGGGUGAGUAACGCGUGGGUAACCUGCCCUGUACACACGGAUAACAUACCGAAAGGUAUGCUAAUACGAGAUAACAUAAGAAAUUCGCAUGUUUUUCUUAUCAAAGCUCCGGCGGUACAGGAUGGACCCGCGUCUGAUUAGCUAGUUGGUGAGGUAAUGGCUCACCAAGGCGACGAUCAGUAGCCGACCUGAGAGGGUGAUCGGCCACAUUGGAACUGAGACACGGUCCAAACACCUACGGGGGGAAGCGGUGGGGAAUAUGAAACAAGGGGCGAAGGCCUGAUGAGGCAACGCCGCGUGAGGGAGGAAGGCCUUCGGGUCGUAAAGCUCUGUCCUCAAGAAAGAAAAUGACGGUACUUGAGGAGGAAGCCCCGGCUAACUAGGUGCCAGCCGCCGCCGUAA
rnacentral:rRNA from 1 species